rnacentral:rRNA from 1 species
GACGAACGCUGGCGGCGUGCUUAACACAUGCAAGUCGAACGGAAAGGCCCUGCUUUUGUGGGUUGCUCUAGUGGCGAACGGGUGAGUAACACGUGAGUAACCUGCCCUUGACUUUGGGAUAACUUCAGGAAACUGGGGCUAAUACCGGAUAUGAGCUCCUGCUGCAUGGUGGGGGUUGGAAAGUUUCUGCGGUUGGGGAUGGACUCGCGGCUUAUCAGCUUGUUGGUGGGGUAGUGGCUUACCAAGGCUUUGACGGGUAGCCGGCCUGAGAGGGUGACCGGCCACACUGGGACUGAGAUACGGCCCAGACUCCUACGGGAGGCAGCAGUGGGGAAUAUUGCACAAUGGGCGGAAGCCUGAUGCAGCAACGCCGCGUGAGGGAUGACGGCCUUCGGGUUGUAAACCGCUUUCGCCAGUGAAGAAGCGUGAGUGACGGUAAUGGGUAAAGAAGCACCGGCUAACUACGUG